UACGUAGGGUGCAAGCGUUGUCCGGAAUUAUUGGGCGUAAAGAGCGUGUAGGCGGUUAUACAGGUCCGCUGUGAAAACUGGAGGCUUAACCUCCAGACGUCGGUGGAAACCGUAUGACUAGAGUCCGGAAGAGGAGAGUGGAAUUCCUGGUGUAGCGGUGAAAUGCGCAGAUAUCAGGAAGAACACCUGUGGCGAAAGCGGCUCACUGGACCACAACUGACGCUGAGGCGCGAAAGCUAGGGGAGCAAACAGG
rnacentral:rRNA from 1 species